rnacentral:tRNA from 1 species
GGUUCCAUAGUGUAGCGGUUAGCACGUCUGUUUUACAUGCAGAAGGUCCUGGGUUCGCACCACAGUGGAGCCA